rnacentral:rRNA from 1 species
GGAAUAUUGCACAAUGGGGGAAACCCUGAUGCAGCAACGCCGCGUGAGUGAUUGAAGUAUUUCGGUAUGUAAAACUCUAUCAGCAGGGAAGAAGAUGACGGUACCUGAUUAAGAAGCCCCGGCUAACUACGUGCCAGCAGCCGCGGUAAUACGUAGGGGGCAAGCGUUAUCCGGAUUUACUGGGUGUAAAGGGAGCGUAGACGGUAAUGUAAGUCUGAUGUGAAAGCCCGGGGCUCAACCCCGGGACUGCAUUGGAAACUAUGUAACUAGAGUACCGGAGAGGUAAGCGGAAUUCCUAGUGUAGCGGUGAAAUGCGUAGAUAUUAGGAGGAACACCAGUGGCGAAGGCGGCUUACUGGACGGAAACUGACGUUGAGGCUCGAAAGCGUGGGGAGCAAAC